rnacentral:tRNA from 1 species
GGGGAUGUAGCUCUAAUGGUAGAGCGCUCGCUUCGCAUGCGAGAGGUACGGGGAUCGAUACCCCGCAUCUCCA